CCUGGGGUCGAUUUGCUCGACUAAAGGCGGUGCUCCAUCAUGGCUGCAGUCAAAUGACUGAAACAAGUAAAAGACAAAAAGAAUAACAUUUUGUAGGUGAUAUAUAUAUGAUAUAUAUUUAUUACAUGAAAUUAGUCAUUUAUAACAUGGACAGAAUCUUGGCAUAUAUAUGUAUAUAUAUGAAUUUUAUUUACAUUAGCACAUAUUUUUAAAACUGCAAGAGAUGUGACAUUACUAUUUGUUCAUUUUUUUCUUAUUAGUUGAAUAUUACUAAAACUAUAAUAUUCUGCUUUUUUUUUUGUGGUGUGUGUGUGUGUGGGGGGUCUUCUUUUUCUUUCUUUUAUCCUUUCAAAAAUUACUUUAAAGUGACUAAAAUUUUCACUUAUGAAUAUUUCAAUUUUAUUCAAUACAAGUUUAUUUUGAAAACAUCAUAUCACAACCUGAAAUUUUGUUCCUUUUGUGGAUAACGAAAUGGCAUAGAACCAAAUGUUAUAAAUUUUAUAUUUUUUCCCUCACCACCUUUUUUUUCUUUUUUUGUUGAUCACAAGCUCUCAGUUUUAUUAGAACAUACUGUUGUGAAGAAAAGAUAAAAAUCGGAUUGUGUGAUAUACAUUUUCAUACCAAAAUGAUACAGCCACAACAAGUAUUCAAAACUAAUUUGCAGAUGUCACAACACAUCAGGUUCAAUUGGCCCUGCAGAACAUUUUACAAUAAGUUAUUAUGGCAGAAUCGUUAACACGUCAGGUGAAAUGCUAAGCGGUAGUUCGUCUGU